UAUCAAAUUCUACAGCUACUGCAAAUGAUACUACAGCAACUGCAGCCACGACUACAGCAAUUACAGCUACAACUACUUUGACAGCUACAACGACAAAUUCUACAGCUACUGCAAAUUCAACUCCAGCAAUUACAGCCAUGACUACAGCAACUGCAACGACUACAGCAAUUACAUCUAUAACUGCUGUGAUAGAUACAUCCACAACUUCUACAACCACCAUAUCUACCACAACUAUUGCAACUACUACAACUGUGGAGGCAAUAACAACAAGACGGGUGACUUUUAGAUCCGCUGGAGAAACAUUCACAAUUGAUUUGGCAAAUCCAUCAUCUCAAGCAUUUACGAAUAGAGCUGAAUUGUUAAAGUCAACACUUAAACCUCUUUACCAAAACACAUUUGCCUCAUUCCGCUCUUUGACAGUGGUUUCAUUCAGCAAUGGCUCAAUCAUCAACAACAUGGAUCUAGGAUUUGCAUCAACAUCUCUUCCUAGUAACACUCAAAUUGCAAAUGUUUUGAUCAGAGCGGCUUCUAACAUCACAGCCUUUAACAUUGACCUCAAUUACA